AACGAACGCUGGCGGCAUGCCUAACACAUGCAAGUCGAACGAGACCUUCGGGUCUAGUGACGCACGGGUGCGUAACGCGUGGGAAUCUGCCCUUCGGUUCGGAAUAACAGUUAGAAAUGACUGCUAAUACCGGAUGAUGACGUAAGUCCAAAGAUUUAUCGCCGAAGGAUGAGCCCGCGUAGGAUUAGGUAGUUGGUGGGGUAAUGGCCCACCAAGCCGACGAUCCUUAGCUGGUCUGAGAGGAUGAUCAGCCACACUGGGACUGAGACACGGCCCAGACUCCUACGGGAGGCAGCAGUGGGGAAUAUUGGACAAUGGGCGAAAGCCUGAUCCAGCAAUGCCGCGUGAGUGAUGAAGGCCUUAGGGUUGUAAAGCUCUUUUACCAGGGAUGAUAAUGACAGUACCUGGAGAAUAAGCUCCGGCUAACUCCGUGCCAGCAGCCGCCGCGGUAA
rnacentral:rRNA from 1 species